UACGGGGGGCGAAGCGUUGUUCGGAAUUACUGGGCGUAAAGGGCUCGUAGGUGGCCAACUAAGUCAGACGUGAAAUCCCUCGGCUUAACCGGGGAACUGCGUCUGAUACUGGAUGGCUUGAGUUCGGGAGAGGGAGUGCGGAAUUCCAGGUGUAGCGGUGAAAUGCGUAGAUAUCGGAGGAACACCGGUGGCGAAGGCGGCAUCCUGGACCGACACUGACGCUGAGGAGCGAAAGCCAGGGGAGCCAAACGGGGAUUAAGAAACCCGU
rnacentral:rRNA from 1 species